rnacentral:rRNA from 1 species
UACGGAGGGUGCGAGCGUUGUUCGGAAUCACUGGGCGUAAAGGGCGCGUAGGCGGCCCGCUAAGUCGAACGUGAAAUCCCCAGGCUCAACCUGGGAAGCUGCGUCCGAUACUGGCAGGCUUGAAUCCGGGAGAGGGAUGUGGAAUUCCAGGUGUAGCGGUGAAAUGCGUAGAUAUCUGGAGGAACACCGGUGGCGAAGGCGGCAUCCUGGACCGGUAUUGACGCUGAGGCGCGAAAGCUAGGGGAGCAAACGGG